AUUGAACGCUGGCGGCAUGCCUUACUCAUGCAAGUCGAACGGUAACAGGUCUUCGGAUGCUGACGAGUGGCGAACGGGUGAGUAAUACAUCGGAACGUGCCUAGUAGUGGGGGAUAACUACUCGAAAGAGUGGCUAAUACCGCAUGAGAUCUACGGAUGAAAGCAGGGGAUCGCAAGACCUUGUGCUACUAGAGCGGCCGAUGGCAGAUUAGGUAGUUGGUGGGAUAAAAGCUUACCAAGCCGACGAUCUGUAGCUGGUCUGAGAGGACGAUCAGCCACACUGGGACUGAGACACGGCCCAGACUCCUACGGGAGGCAGCAGUGGGGAAUUUUGGACAAUGGGCGAAAGCCUGAUCCAGCAAUGCCGCGUGCAGGAUGAAGGCCUUCGGGUUGUAAACUGCUUUUGUACGGAACGAAAAGCCCCGGUUAAUACCCUGGGGUCAUGACGGUACCGUAAGAAUAAGCACCGGCUAACUACGUGCCAGCCGCCGCGGUAA
rnacentral:rRNA from 1 species